UGACAGAAACGCUCACACGAUUCUUGACAAACAGAAGGCUCCCCGGCGGGAGGUGCCACCGAGCCAGGCGUGCUUCUGGCACAGUGUGGCCCCGUCGGCCCCGCCCCCGGCGCUCAGCGUCGGUCACCUGAUGAGCCAGUUCGGCGGAGACGAUCUGGAAGCUUUCGUGCAAAACCCACUCGUUUUCUGAGGCUACCUCGUCCGCUGCAGCCACCCCCCCGACACUCAAGAGUCGGGGGCCGCGAGCCAUCCCGACACUCGCCACCGCACAGCACGUCCCCGGGGGCCUCUCUUCUACAGCUCACACGGUCGCCAUGAUGGCACCGAGAGAUUCUCACUCUGCUGGUCUCCCUCGCAUCAGCCCAGCACCCAACAGAAGACAGAGGACACAUUUAAAUUCGGGCUCAACGCUCAGUGUGGAGCCCAACGUGGGGCUCGAUCUCACAACCCUGGGAUCAUGAGCUGAGCUGAAAUCAAGAGUCAGACACUCAACUGACUGAGCCAGCCACCCACCCCAUAAUGGAACCAUUUUUGAACUGACGUCUUUAGUAAGCUCUACGUGCGGUGGAAAAAUCGAGGUGGAGUGGGGGGCUAGCGAGGGUCCGGCAACAAAGCGCUUGGUUAAGCGCUCACUGGUCGUCUUUCGGGGCUCGUGCCACAUGACCACGAAGGCCGCGGCUCUGGGAGACGUCACAGCCGCCUUUGAGAAGAGCAGUCUAGUCCAAGCUCCCCUCCCCCAAUGGAAAAGCACCGUACUUACGUGACUCCACGAUGGUGCGCUUCUCGACGACAGUCAGUGACCUGGGACCACUGGCGCCAAAGCGAGAAACUGCCUGUGAGUCCGAACGAACGGUGGCAUCCAAAUCACCUCAGCACCUGGUUUCUGACGGCAAGGUUCGUACCCGACUGUGAAAGCAGAGAGCCUGGCAACCAAAGAGGGUAUCUGGCUGGAAGAAGAGAUCUUAGGGCGCUGUCUCCCCAGACAUUACCGCUCCACCAACCCCGUCUCCGUUUGUGUCCCUAGUGAUGACCAAAGGCAUCAGGGUAUUUCCCUGCCACGUCAUUUCCACGCCACGCGAUUUCCACCACUGGACGGGAAUCCAGCAUAUGAGCCUAUGACGGUGACGUUUCAGGACUGGACCCCCGUGCUGUUUUGCACUUCCCAUCGAUGGCCCAAGGUCAAGGCGAUAAAUAGAGCCAAGAGGUCAGCAGAGACGCGUGGAGGUGCCGGGCUCGAUGCUAAGACACUUAAACUCCACCUGGCCAGAGCACGGGUAUGCCUGCCAAGAGACCACCAUGGUACGACGCCUUCAGCACAUAUCCCCUUUGGGGGAAAACCUACAGCUACCCGUUACCUCCAGUUAGAAAAUAUGAAUCAAAAGCUUAACAUUAAACUUGUCAGGGGGACUUUGGGAAUCUCCAUCCUCACCGCUGCAACAUCUUUAGGCAAUGGGAAAGUCCUCCACGUUAAACAGGGUUAAAUCAGGUCCAGACGAGGCCAUCUGCCUUGAGUGACAUCUAAAGAUUUGAGACCAUCUCAAGGGAAGAACCUCAGGGUGCGAGAUGAGGGGGGAAGCCGGAGUGGUGGUUAAGGGCACAAGCUUUUGAGCCAGACACGCUCGAGUCCAAUCCCGGCCCCGCCUCUAACUUGUGACCGUGCGACCCAUGACACGUUACCGAGCUUCUCAGAGUCUCUGCGUCCUCAGCUACGAAAUAAAAACAAUCACGCCGACAUCAUAAAGCUGCUUGGACACUGAAAGGGUUACUGUGGAAACUGCUCUUAACACAAUAUGUAACGUUUAAGAUGCAUUCAACAAAGGGGCACCUGGGGGGCUCAGCUGGCUAAGCGUCCAACUCUUGGUUUCAGCCCUGGUCGUGAUCUCACC